rnacentral:rRNA from 1 species
UGCGUAGGCGGACCAGUAAGUCAGUGGUGAAAUCUUUCGGCUCAACCGAGAAACUGCCAUUGAUACUGUUGGUCUUGAGUUCGGUUGAGGUAGGCGGAAUGUGUAAUGUAGCGGUGAAAUGCUUAGAUAUUACACAGAACACCAAUUGCGUAGGCAGCUUACUAGACCGACACUGACGCUGAGGCACGAAAGCGUGGGGAGCGAACAGGAUUAGAUACCCUGGUAGUC